rnacentral:rRNA from 1 species
UACGGGGGGGGCAAGCGUUGUUCGGAAUUACUGGGCGUAAAGGGCUCGUAGGUGGUCAACUAAGUCGGACGUGAAAUCCCUCGGCUUAACCGGGGAACUGCGUCUGAUACUGGAUGGCUUGAGUUUGGGAGAGGGAUGCGGAAUUCCAGGUGUAGCGGUGAAAUGCGUAGAUAUCUGGAGGAACACCGGUGGCGAAGGCGGCAUCCUGGACCAACACUGACGCUGAGGAGCGAAAGCCAGGGGAGCAAACGGG